rnacentral:rRNA from 1 species
UGCUAGUCGCACGAGUUCAGGCUCGUGGCGAAUAGCUCAGUAACACGUGGCCAAACUACCCUAUGGAUCGGCAUAACCUCGGGAAACUGAGGACAAUUCCGAAUACGGCUCGAUGCCUGGAACUGGCUCAAGCCCGAAACGCUACGGCGCCAUAGGAUGUGGCUGCGGCCGAUUAGGUAGACGGUGGGGUAACGGCCCACCGUGCCGAUAAUCGGUACGGGUCAUGAGAGUGAGAGCCCGGAGACGGUAUCUGAGACAAGAUACCGGGCCCUACGGGGCGCAGCAGGCGCGAAACCUUUACACUGCACGACAGUGCGAUAAGGGGACUCCGAGUGCGAGGGCAUACAGUCCUCGCUUUUCACUACCGUAAGGUGGUAGUGGAAUAAGUGCUGGGCAAGACCGGUGCCAGCCGCCGCGGUAAUACCGGCAGCACGAGUGAUGACCGCUAUUAUUGGGCCUAAAGCGUCCGUAGCCGGCCGAACAAGUCCGUCGGGAAAUCCGCACGCCUAACGUGUGGGCGUCCGGCGGAAACUGUUCGGCUUGGGACCGGAAGACUCGAGGGGUACGUCCGGGGUAGGAGUGAAAUCCCGUAAUCCUGGACGGACCACCGGUGGCGAAAGCGCCUCGAGAGGACGGAUCCGACGGUGAGGGACGAAAGCUAGGGUCACGAACCGGAUUAGAUACCCGGGUAGUCCUAGCCGUAAACGAUGUCUGCUAGGUGUGGCACAGGCUACGAGCCUGUGCUGUGCCGUA